GGGUUGUGAGGUUAAGCGACUAAGCGUACACGGUGGAUGCCCUGGCAGUCAGAGGCGAUGAAGGACGUGCUAAUCUGCGAUAAGCGUCGGUAAGGUGAUAUGAACCGUUAUAACCGGCGAUUUCCGAAUGGGGAAACCCAGUGUGAUUCGUCACACUAUCAUUAACUGAAUCCAUAGGUUAAUGAGGCGAACCGGGGGAACUGAAACAUCUAAGUACCCCGAGGAAAAGAAAUCAACCGAGAUUCCCCCAGUAGCGGCGAGCGAACGGGGAGCAGCCCAGAGCCUGAAUCAGUGUGUGUGUUAGUGGAAGCGUCUGGAAAGGCGCGCGAUACAGGGUGACAGCCCCGUACACAAAAAUGCACAUGCUGUGAGCUCGAUGAGUAGGGCGGGACACGUGGUAUCCUGUCUGAAUAUGGGGGGACCAUCCUCCAAGGCUAAAUACUCCUGACUGACCGAUAGUGAACCAGUACCGUGAGGGAAAGGCGAAAAGAACCCCGGCGAGGGGAGUGAAAAAGAACCUGAAACCGUGUACGUACAAGCAGUGGGAGCACGCUUAGGCGUGUGACUGCGUACCUUUUGUAUAAUGGGUCAGCGACUUAUAUUCUGUAGCAAGGUUAACCGAAUAGGGGAGCCGAAGGGAAACCGAGUCUUAACUGGGCGUUAAGUUGCAGGGUAUAGACCCGAAACCCGGUGAUCUAGCCAUGGGCAGGUUGAAGGUUGGGUAACACUAACUGGAGGACCGAACCGACUAAUGUUGAAAAAUUAGCGGAUGACUUGUGGCUGGGGGUGAAAGGCCAAUCAAACCGGGAGAUAGCUGGUUCUCCCCGAAAGCUAUUUAGGUAGCGCCUCGUGAAUUCAUCUCCGGGGGUAGAGCACUGUUUCGGCAAGGGGGUCAUCCCGACUUACCAACCCGAUGCAAACUGCGAAUACCGGAGAAUGUUAUCACGGGAGACACACGGCGGGUGCUAACGUCCGUCGUGAAGAGGGAAACAACCCAGACCGCCAGCUAAGGUCCCAAAGUCAUGGUUAAGUGGGAAACGAUGUGGGAAGGCCCAGACAGCCAGGAUGUUGGCUUAGAAGCAGCCAUCAUUUAAAGAAAGCGUAAUAGCUCACUGGUCGAGUCGGCCUGCGCGGAAGAUGUAACGGGGCUAAACCAUGCACCGAAGCUGCGGCAGCGACGCUUAUGCGUUGUUGGGUAGGGGAGCGUUCUGUAAGCCUGUGAAGGUGUGCUGUGAGGCAUGCUGGAGGUAUCAGAAGUGCGAAUGCUGACAUAAGUAACGAUAAAGCGGGUGAAAAGCCCGCUCGCCGGAAGACCAAGGGUUCCUGUCCAACGUUAAUCGGGGCAGGGUGAGUCGACCCCUAAGGCGAGGCCGAAAGGCGUAGUCGAUGGGAAACAGGUUAAUAUUCCUGUACUUGGUGUUACUGCGAAGGGGGGACGGAGAAGGCUAUGUUGGCCGGGCGACGGUUGUCCCGGUUUAAGCGUGUAGGCUGGUUUUCCAGGCAAAUCCGGAAAAUCAAGGCUGAGGCGUGAUGACGAGGCACUACGGUGCUGAAGCAACAAAUGCCCUGCUUCCAGGAAAAGCCUCUAAGCAUCAGGUAACAUCAAAUCGUACCCCAAACCGACACAGGUGGUCAGGUAGAGAAUACCAAGGCGCUUGAGAGAACUCGGGUGAAGGAACUAGGCAAAAUGGUGCCGUAACUUCGGGAGAAGGCACGCUGAUAUGUAGGUGAAGUCCCUCGCGGAUGGAGCUGAAAUCAGUCGAAGAUACCAGCUGGCUGCAACUGUUUAUUAAAAACACAGCACUGUGCAAACACGAAAGUGGACGUAUACGGUGUGACGCCUGCCCGGUGCCGGAAGGUUAAUUGAUGGGGUCAGCGCAAGCGAAGCUCUUGAUCGAAGCCCCGGUAAACGGCGGCCGUAACUAUAACGGUCCUAAGGUAGCGAAAUUCCUUGUCGGGUAAGUUCCGACCUGCACGAAUGGCGUAAUGAUGGCCAGGCUGUCUCCACCCGAGACUCAGUGAAAUUGAACUCGCUGUGAAGAUGCAGUGUACCCGCGGCAAGACGGAAAGACCCCGUGAACCUUUACUAUAGCUUGACACUGAACAUUGAGCCUUGAUGUGUAGGAUAGGUGGGAGGCUUAGAAGUGUGGACGCCAGUCUGCAUGGAGCCGACCUUGAAAUACCACCCUUUAAUGUUUGAUGUUCUAACGUUGACCCGUAAUCCGGGUUGCGGACAGUGUCUGGUGGGUAGUUUGACUGGGGCGGUCUCCUCCUAAAGAGUAACGGAGGAGCACGAAGGUUGGCUAAUCCUGGUCGGACAUCAGGAGGUUAGUGCAAUGGCAUAAGCCAGCUUGACUGCGAGCGUGACGGCGCGAGCAGGUGCGAAAGCAGGUCAUAGUGAUCCGGUGGUUCUGAAUGGAAGGGCCAUCGCUCAACGGAUAAAAGGUACUCCGGGGAUAACAGGCUGAUACCGCCCAAGAGUUCAUAUCGACGGCGGUGUUUGGCACCUCGAUGUCGGCUCAUCACAUCCUGGGGCUGAAGUAGGUCCCAAGGGUAUGGCUGUUCGCCAUUUAAAGUGGUACGCGAGCUGGGUUUAGAACGUCGUGAGACAGUUCGGUCCCUAUCUGCCGUGGGCGCUGGAGAACUGAGGGGGGCUGCUCCUAGUACGAGAGGACCGGAGUGGACGCAUCACUGGUGUUCGGGUUGUCAUGCCAAUGGCACUGCCCGGUAGCUAAAUGCGGAAGAGAUAAGUGCUGAAAGCAUCUAAGCACGAAACUUGCCCCGAGAUGAGUUCUCCCUGACUCCUUGAGAGUCCUGAAGGAACGUUGAAGACGACGACGUUGAUAGGCCGGGUGUGUAAGCGCAGCGAUGCGUUGAGCUAACCGGUACUAAUGAACCGUGAGGCUUAACCUUACAACGCCGAAGCUGUU
rnacentral:rRNA from 3 species